rnacentral:rRNA from 1 species
AUUGAACGCUGGCGGCAUGCUUUACACAUGCAAGUCGAACGGCAGCACGGGUGCUUGCACCUGGUGGCGAGUGGCGAACGGGUGAGUAACGCAUCGGAACGUAUCCAAUAAUGGGGGAUAACGCAUCGAAAGGUGUGCUAAUACCGCAUACGCCCUGAGGGGGAAAGUGGGGGAUCUUCGGACCUCACGUUAAUGGAGCGGCCGAUGUCUGAUUAGCUAGUUGGUGGGGUAAAGGCCCACCAAGGCUUCGAUCAGUAGCUGGUCUGAGAGGACGACCAGCCACACUGGGACUGAGACACGGCCCAGACUCCUACGGGAGGCUG